CCCUUAGAUGUUCUGGGCCGCACGCGCGCUACAAUGAUGAAUUCAACGAGUUUAUAACCUUGGUUGAAAAGCCUGGGUAAUCUUUUGAACUUUCGUCGUGAUGGGGCUAGACCCUUGCAAUUAUUGGUCUCCAACGAGGAAUUCCUAGUAAACGCAAGUCAUCAGCUUGCAUUGAUUACGUCCCUGCCCUUUGUACACACCGCCCGUCGCACCUACCGAUUGAAUGGUACGGUGAAAUCUUCGGAUUGAGACUUUGUUUUCUUCACGGAAAACGCUGUUUUAAAAAGUUGAUUAAACCUUACCAUUUAGAGGAAGGUGAAGUCGUAACA
rnacentral:rRNA from 1 species